ensembl:misc_RNA Y_RNA Y RNA
GGCUGGUCCGCAGGUAGUGAGUUAUCUCACUUGAUAGCUCACAGCCAGUUACAGAUGGAACUCCUUGUUCUACUCUUCCCCCCUUCUCACUACUGCUUGACUAGUCUUUU